UGGGAAAAGGAAUAAGUGAGGUGGAGGAGAUUCUAAGAAGGGUGGAAAUGAAAGAACAACUGCAAGAAGGGAAGUAGAAAGCAAGCAUGAGUGGUCAGUAUGCAAUGAAAUAUGCUUAUGUGAUAAUACAGGGGCAGCAAGCUAUGGGUCAACAUGAGAAAAGUUAUAAAGAAGUAUGUAUAUGGGAGACAGAAGUACCACCAAAGGUAAGCUUCUUUUUUUUUUUUUUUUUUUUUUUUUGUGAAGAAUGAUUACAAAUUGGCUUCCAACUAGGGACCAACUGUGUAAAAGAAGUUUUCUUCGGGAAAGCUUAGCUAGAAGCUUCCCCAAGUGUAAGGAUAAUCCAAACACCAUAUCUCAUGUUCUGUUCAAUUGCAGGAUGUUUGAUUGGGUAUGAAAAUAUUGCAAUUGAUGAGUGAGCAUUAAUAGUGUUUUCCCCGAGUUAGCAGAAACACGUUUCUAUCAGCAUAAAUAGAGGCUGUGUAUUAAAUAAAGAACUAUGGUUUAGAUUGUAGUUUGCAAUUAUCUGGUGUAUAUGGAAAGAGGGAAAUAGUGUUUGAUGGAACGGAAAAUGUUUUGCGGACAGGAUGUGAUGCAACACAUCAAGAUAUAUUAUUGGAAGUGGUAUAAACUGACUGAUAAGGAGAGAUGUUCCACGUUUAUCCAAUGGUGUGCCAACCCUGAAAUAUGCAUAAGAAACUUGUUUUACUAAUGAGUUGGCUAUGUGAAAGUUUAAAAAUAGGAUCUUGUAUUUUGUAGAAGUUUAUGGUGUAGUCACUAGGUUCUCUAUGUUUUGGGUUUUGACCGCGUCUGUGAACUAAGGAACUAUGUAGGAAACAAAAUUCUUUGAUUGUUCAGUUUAGGUACGUAAAAAAGGGAGGUCUACCUUGUACCCUAUAUAUAAUAUAUGUAUCAUUGCAGGAAAACAAAAUCAUAUUGAUUACAG
rnacentral:lncRNA from 1 species